GCCCGUCUAGCUUAGUUGGUAGAGCGCAAGACUCUUAACCUUGUGCAACUGGGCUUAAGCCCCUGGGUGGGCA
rnacentral:tRNA from 1 species